rnacentral:rRNA from 1 species
AUUGAACGCUAGCGGCAGGCUUAACACAUGCAAGUCGAGCGAGCGGCGGACGGGUGAGUAAUGUCUGGGAAACUGCCUGAUGGAGGGGGAUAACUACUGGAAACGGUAGCUAAUACCGCAUACCAUCAGAUCUGCCCAGAUGGGUUUAGCUAGUAGGUGGGGUAAUGGCUCACCUAGGCGACGAUCCCUAGCUGGUCUGAGAGGAUGACCGCCCACCUUGGAAUGAGGACAGGGCCCAGAUCCCAACGGGGGGCAGAGGGGGGGAAUUGUGAAAAAUGGGCGCAAGCCUGAGGCAGCCAUGCGGCGUGUGUGAAGAAGGCCUUCGGUUUGAAAAGCACUUUCAGAGAGGAGGCGUUACUCGCAGAAGAAGCACCGGCUAAUUCCGUGCCAGCGGCCGCGGUAAUA